rnacentral:rRNA from 1 species
GACGAACGCUGGCGGCGUGCUUAACACAUGCAAGUCGAACGGAAAGGCCCUGCUCUUGUGGGGUGCUCGAGUGGCGAACGCGUGAGUAACACGUGAGUAACCUGCCCUUGACAUUGGGAUAACUUCAGGAAACUGGGGCUAAUACCCGAUAGGAGCUCCUGCUGCAUGGUGGGGGUUGGAAAGUUUCGGCGGUUGGGGAUGGACUCGCGGGUUAUCAGCUUCUUGGUCGGGUAGUUGCUUACCAAGGCUUUGACGGGUAGGCAGCCUGAGAGGGUGGCCGGCCACAGUGGGACUAAGAUACGGCACAGACUCCUACGGGAGGCAGCAGUGUGGAAUAUUGCACAAUAGGCGGAAGCCUGAUGCGGCAACGCCGCGUGCGGGAUGCCGGCCUUCGGGUGGUAAACCGCUUUCGACGGUGACGAAGCGUGAGUGACGGUAAUGGGUAAAGAAGCACCGGCUAACUACGUG